rnacentral:rRNA from 1 species
UAAGGAAUAUUGCUCAAUGGGAGAAAUCCUGAAGCAGCAACGCCGCGUGGAGGAUGAAGGGUUUUUAACUUGCAAACUCCUGUAAAGAAGGAAAAAAUUCCCAUUAGAUGGGAAAUGAUGGUACUUCUGGAGUAAGCCCCGGCUAACUACGUGCCAGCAGCCGCGGUAAUACGUAGGGGGCAAGCGUUGUCCGGAUUUACUGGGUGUAAAGGGUGCUCAGGCGGAUUUGUAAGUCAGAGGUGAAAUCUCACAGCUUAACUGUGAAACUGCCUUUGAUACUGCAAGCCUAGAGUAUGGAAGAGAGUGAUGGAAUAUCUGGUGUAGCAGUGAAAUGCGUAGAUAUCAGAUAGAACACCAAUGGCGAAGGCAGUCACUUGGUCCAUAACUGACGCUAAAGCACGAAAGCGUGGGUAGCAAACAGGAUUAGAUACCCUGGUAGUCCACGCCCUAAACGAUGAAUACUAGAUGUUGGCUUCGCAUGAAGUCAGUAUCUGAGCUAACGCAUUAAGUAUUCCACCUGGGAAGUACGAUCGCAAGGUUGAAACUCAAAAUGAAUUGACGGGGUCAUAGCUGUUUCCUG